rnacentral:rRNA from 1 species
CCUACGGGAGGCAGCAGUGGGGAAUCUUGCGCAAUGGGCGAAAGCCUGACGCAGCAACGCCGCGUGCGGGAUGAAGGCCUUCGGGUUGUAAACCGCUUUUAACAGGAACGAAAAUGACGGUACCUGUAGAAUAAGGUGCGGCCAACUACGUGCCAGCAGCCGCGGUGACACGUAGGCACCAAGCGUUGUCCGGAUUUAUUGGGCGUAAAGAGCUCGUAGGCGGUUCAGUAAGUCGGGUGUGAAAACUCUGGGCUUAACCCAGAGACGCCACUCGAUACUACUGUGACUAGAGUUCGGUAGGGGAGCGGGGAAUUCCUAGUGUAGCGGUGAAAUGCGCAGAUAUUAGGAGGAACACCGGUGGCGAAGGCGCCGCUCUGGGCCGAUACUGACGCUGAGGAGCGAAAGCGUGGGUAGCAAACAGGAUUAGAUACCCUGGUAGUCCACGCCGUAAACGGUGGGCACUAGGUGUGGGCUCCAACCAACGGAGUCCGCGCCGUCGCUAACGCAUUAAGUGCCCGCCUGGGGAGUACGCCGCGAGUAACGUACANAGAGUAGACGCGNGAGAACGUGCGAGACGACGACGAGGGAGAGG